rnacentral:RNase_P_RNA from 2 species
CAACCACGGCCUCGAACCGGGUGGGUUCGGCAACGACCCACCUGAGGAAACUCCCCCAAAGCCGUGGAUCCCCGCGGGGCAACCCGCCGACCGAGAGGUCGCAGGGGGAUGGUGGCCCAAGUAGGGACCUGUGAUCUCCACGGGUGAGGUCCGGGUAGGGCCUUAGAGCAAUGCUACAGAAGGGGGGUUAUGCCGUGGUUG